rnacentral:rRNA from 1 species
AUGGCUCAGAACGAACGCUGGCGGCAGGCCUAAGUCAUGCAAGUUGAACGGCUGUAGCAAUACAGCAGUAGCGGACGGGUGAGUAAUGUAUGGGAACGUAUCUUCUAGUGGGGAAUAUUCUUUGGAAACGAAGAGCAAUACCGCAUGAGUCCUACGGGAGAAAGUCGCAAGACGCUAGAUGAGCGGCCCAUAUUGGAUUAGCUAGUUGGUUAGGUAAUGGCUGACCAAGGCAACGAUCCAUAGCUGGUCUAAGAGGACGAUCGGCCACAUUGGGACUGAGACACGGCCCAGACUCCUACGGGAGGCAGCAGUCAGGAAUAUUGGACAAUGGGGGCAACCCUGAUCCAGCCCAUGCCGCGUGAGUGUUAAGGUCUUCGGAUUGUAAAGCUCUUUUGUGUGGGAAAAUGAUGAUGGUACCACAAGAAUAAGCACCGGCUAACUUCGUGCCAGCAGCCGC